UCAAUCUCAACAUUGCCCUAAAGGAUGAGAGAAAGUAAGGACAAUACUUUAAAGGUACAGAUUAUUCAUACCCUGCCCCAAUUUUGAGUUGAAAUUCAUUUCUACUGGUAGAAUGGCUAUUUCUUGCUGGAAAUAAAAUUACGAAAGAGUCCAAAAAUGUGUACUAUAUAUAUAGAUAUAUACCAGCGGAGUCCAAAGUCGGUCCUCAAAAGCCGCUGUCCUUGCUGUUUUCCAGCUCUCACAGGAGCAACACACCUGAUUCAAAUCAUCAGGAUCGUUCUAAUGCUGCUUCAGAGCUGGCUAAUGAGCUGAUCAUCUGAAUCAGGUGUGUUGUAGGCGGGAGGGCUGGAAAACAGGCAGGACAGUGGCCCUCGAGGCCCGGAGCUGGACAUGUCUGAUAUACAGGUAUACUGUAAAACAUAGGUGUCAAACUCAGGUCCUGGAUGGCCGCUGUCUUGCAUGCUUUCCAAGUCUCCCUUUUCAAAGACACCUGAUUCAAGACACCUGA